AUUGAACGCUGGCGGAAUGCUUUACACAUGCAAGUCGAACGGCAGCACGGGAGCUUGCUCCUGGUGGCGAGUGGCGAACGGGUGAGUAAUACAUCGGAACGUACCCUGACGUGGGGGAUAACACAUCGAAAGAUGUGCUAAUACCGCAUACGACCUGAGGGUGAAAGGGGGGGAUCGCAAGACCUCUCGCGUUGGGAGUGGCCGAUGUCGGAUUAGCUAGUUGGUGAGGUAAAGGCUCGCCAAGGCGACGAUCAGUAGCUGGUCUGAGAGGAUGAUCAGCCACAUUGGGACUGAGACACGGCCCAAACUCCUACGGGAGGCAGCAGUGGGGAAUUUUGGACAAUGGGGGCAACCCUGAUCCAGCAAUGCCGCGUGAGUGAAGAAGGCCUUCGGGUUGUAAAGCUCUUUUGUCAGGGAAGAAACACCGGCUCUAACACAGUCCGGGAAUGACGGUACCUGAAGAAUAAGCACCGGCUAACUACGUGCCAGCAGCCGCCGCGG
rnacentral:rRNA from 1 species